rnacentral:lncRNA from 10 species
ACACUUCCGGCCUUUGUGGGCCGCAGCGACGGCGGUCUGCGGCUGUCGGUUCUGUUUGUUGCUGUCACUGCUGUUUGUUCUUGCCAGCGGCUAGGGUCUGGCUGUUUUGCCCAGAAUGGAGUGCAGUGGCGUGAUGGUCUCGGCUGACAGCAGCCUCGACCUCCUGGGCUCAAGCCUUGGCCUCCCAAAGUGCUGGGAUUACAGGUAUGAGCCACCAUGCCCGGCCCUCCCUUUCUUUUGUGUCUUUGGAUUUGUCUUUGUGGAGAGGGUACCAGCCACCAUCCUGUGAGGAAGCCCAGAGCACAUGAAGAGACCACCUGCACAUGUUCAGAUCCACUGCCCCAGCUAAGAUCUCCGCUGACAGCCAGACCAAUCACCAAUCUUAGGAGCUGGCGAGCCUUCAGAUGGUCCAACCUUUGAGGCCCCCCAGAGGAGCCAGGUGGAGCAUAGAUGAGCCAUCCAUGUGGAUCCCUCCACCAAAUGGAAGAUUUAGGAGCAAAAUAAACAAUGUUGUCAUUGCUUUCACCCA